rnacentral:rRNA from 1 species
GACGAACGCUGGCGGCGUGCUUAACACAUGCAAGUCGAACGAAGUGGCGAACGGGUGAGUAAUACGUGGGUACCCUGCCCUCCGUUUUGGGAUAAGCAUUGGAAACGGGGUCUAAUACCGAAUAAAGGGGGAUGGGCUAGCGGCCUAUCAGCUUGUUGGUGUGGUGAUGGCCUACCAAGGCGGUGACGGGUAGCGGGCCUGAGAGGGGGACCGGCUACAUUGGGAAUGAGAUACGCCCCAGCGUACUAAGGGGGGCAGCAGUGGGGGAUAGUGCACAAAGGGCGAAAGCCUGAUGCAGCGACGCCGCGUGGGGGAUGCGGGCUUUCGGGUUGUAAACCUUUUUCGCUAUAGACUGGGUAGGUGGAGAAUAAGCGCCGGCUAACUACGUGCCAGCAGCCGCGGUAAUAC